UACAGAGUGCGCUUUGGGAAGCGGCUCCUUACAUCAAACGGAGUGCACUUACAGUAUAAAGGGCGUAUCAAGCUAUUUGUGAUUGAACCUCCGUCAGAUCAACAAGUUAACACACUGCGUGUAGACAAACGCUGUUAACAGGACGAAAUGCAAAUAGUAACUGGAGAUUAUUUUAAACAGUGCAAACGAGCGUGAAUGAAAUCCGCCUCACAUCCGUCUGAAGAGGAACUAAUCGCAGCUUGCAUUUCUCCGCUGUGGUGAAUCCCUUGGGCAGGUCCACGUACUGUCCCCAUUCCUCCGAGAACACCUGGAUGAGGAAUUUGCGGUGAACGUCAAUCUGAGGGCCGUAAAUGGAGAGAAACUUCUGGACGAGCACUUCAUAGCCGGAGUUCAGAGGCACAGAGGACGGCCGCGAAAACACGGAAAACGAGAAUAAAACGUGGACGUGAGCGCUGCUGGUGUCCGCCAUGAUGAGCCGAGCUGAGGACAGACUGCCGACUGCUGCUGCUGGGGUUCAGCGCUCGGAGAUUUAUAUAUCUGUCUACACAUGACCUACAUCAGCUCUGACCUCCAGAUGGUGCUCAGUAGUAAAAAUCUGGGAGACUAUAUAUCAGGCGCGCGUGCGUGUGUGUGUGCGCGCGCGCACUCAGAAAACUUGAAAGGCUUACUUAGUCUCUUUCUUUGUUGUUUUGCAUUAUUGGUACUGUUUUGUGCAUCAAAAUAAAAUAACCUAAAAUAAA